UACGAAGGGGGCUAGCGUUGUUCGGAUUUACUGGGCGUAAAGCGCACGUAGGCGGAUCGUUAAGUCAGGGGUGAAAUCCUGGAGCUCAACUCCAGAACUGCCUUUGAUACUGGCGAUCUUGAGUCCGGAAGAGGUGAGUGGAACUCCUAGUGUAGAGGUGGAAUUCGUAGAUAUUAGGAAGAACACCAGUGGCGAAGGCGGCUCACUGGUCCGGUACUGACGCUGAGGUGCGAAAGCCAGGGGAGCAAACGGG
rnacentral:rRNA from 1 species